AGUGAACGCUGGCGGUAGGCCUAACACAUGCAAGUCGAACGGCAGCACAGUAAGAGCUUGCUCUUACGGGUGGCGAGUGGCGGACGGGUGAGGAAUACAUCGGAAUCUACUUUUUCGUGGGGGAUAAUGUAGGGAAACUUAUGCUAAUACCGCAUACGACCUACGGGUGAAAGCAGGGGAUCUUCGGACCUUGCGCGAUUGAAUGAGCCGAUGUCGGAUUAGCUAGUUGGCGGGGUAAAGGCCCACCAAGGCGACGAUCCGUAGCUGGUCUGAGAGGAUGAUCAGCCACACUGGAACUGAGACACGGUCCAGACUCCUACGGGAGGCGGCAGUGGGGAAUAUUGGACAAUGGGCGCAAGCCUGAUCCAGCCAUACCGCGUGGGUGAAGAAGGCCUUCGGGUUGUAAAGCCCUUUUGUUGGGAAAGAAAAGCAGCAGGUUAAUACCCCGCUGUUCUGACGGUACCCAAAGAAUAAGCACCGGCUAACUUCGUG
rnacentral:rRNA from 1 species